rnacentral:rRNA from 1 species
AAUUGAACGCUGGGGGCUUGCCUUCCUUUUGCAAGUCAAACGGCACCGCGGGUGCUUGCACCUGGCGGCAAGUGGCGAACGGGUGAGUAAUACAUCGGAACGUGCCCUAUAGUGGGGGAUAACUAGUCAAAAGAUUAGCUAAUACCGCAUACAAUCUACGGAUGAAAGUGGGGGACCGCAGGGCCUCAUGCUCCUGGAGCGGCCGAUGUCUGAUUACCUAGUUGGGGGGGUAACGGCCUACCAAGGCAACAAUCAGUAGCUGGUCUGAGAGGACAACCAGCCACACUGGGACUGAAACACGGCCCAAACUCCUACGGGAGGCAGCAGUGGGGAAUUUUGGACAAUGGGGGGAACCCUGAUCCAGCAAUGCCGCGUGUGUGAAGAAGGCCUUCGGGUUGUAAAGCACUUUUGUCAGGAACGAAACGGUGGGAGCUAAUACCUUCUGCUAAUGACGGUACCUGAAGAAUAAGCACCGGCUAACUACGUG